AAAACAUGGACCAGGAGAGUUAAGGUGCUUUUCCAUCCAAGCAUAUCAGCUGUCCUGUUUCAAUUCCAGGAAGUUCAGCCAAACCUUCAGAUAAAGACCACCGCAGUGAUGAAGCCGGACCACCGCGGAUGUGAGAGGGAAGGAGGAGAAGAAGAAACAUGAAGAAAAAGAGGUUAGAAGAAGAGCAAAGAGGUGAGGAGGGAGCAGCGCUUGGCACAAGUUACUGAAAAUCGGCCAGGCGGAAAGUGCAGUUUUGGAGUGAGCACAUGAAAUCUAGAUGCUGGCACGGGGACGGACCCAACUUUUCAUGUUGUACUUCACUGAACAAUGCUGCUCACUUUAACCCCUUAACCACAAAGCAGUUGAGAUUCUAUCAGGUUCCUUAUUCCUCUUCUGAUCGCAGAUCAUGUUUCAUUUAGAAUGAUAAUUAUUCACAUUCUCUACAUACACUCUGCUCAUGUUCACCGUAAAGACGGAGUGGUUUUAACCAAGCUACACCAAGUAGAAGUGGUCCUGUAAGCUGACCGGGGUCUUUGACAUUAUGACAUAACUGUUCCUUUACGCUCCGUGGAAUAGCUGACAACUUUCCCCUCCAACUUUACAUGUUGACAUUAAUAAUUAAAUUUGUCAUUGAAACCUAAUGCUUAAAUGAAAAAAAAAAUGUUGGCAUUCUGCCAGUGUGAUUAUAUAAAAGUUGUAUUGGCACCGAAAUGGCUCCACUGUUAAUCACAGACUUUAAAUAAACAAAGUUUCAGCAUGGAAAAGAGGAGUCUGAGGGAAGGGUUACAGAGUGUGAUUGAUAUAUCUGCUUCUUAAUGAUCACUGUUAUAGCCUCAGAGAGAAAUCUCCUAUGAAGCGUCAGUGGUAGUGAUGAUUUCUCCCUCACAUGGUUUGGAAAUCACUGAACCAGACUGCCCUGGCUUCCAAAUGCUGCCUAUUAGCAUUGACAUCUAUAUUUUCUGUGUUUAUAUGUGUAUAUCUGGCUAUUAAAUGCAUCAGUACACACUA